rnacentral:rRNA from 1 species
GAACCAACUGGGAUUGCCCUAGUAACGGCGAGUGAAGCGGCAACAGCUCAAAUUUGAAAUCUGGCCUCCUCUGGGGGUCCGAGUUGUAAUUUGCAGAGGGUGCUUUGGCGUUGGUGGCGGUCUAAGUUCCUUGGAACAGGACAUCGCAGAGGGUGAGAAUCCCGUUUGUGGUCGCCUGCCUUCGCCGUGUAAAGCCCCUUCGACGAGUCGAGUUGUUUGGGAAUGCAGCUCUAAAUGGGAGGUAAAUUUCUUCUAAAGCUAAAUACUGGCCAGAGACCGAUAGCGCACAAGUAGAGUGAUCGAAAGAUGAAAAGCACUUUGGAAAGAGAGUCAAACAGCACGUGAAAUUGUUGAAAGGGAAGCGCUUGCAGCCAGACUUGCCCGCAGUUGCUCACCCAGGCUUUUGCCCGGGGCACUCUUCUGCGGGCAGGCCAGCAUCAGUUUGGGCGGUCGGAUAAAGGCCUCUGUCACGUAUCUUCCUUCGGGAUGACCUUAUAGGGGAGGCGACAUGCGACCAGCCCGGACUGAGGUCCGCGCUUCUGCUAGGAUGCUGGCGUAAUGGCUGUAAGCGGCCCGUCUUGAAACACGGACCAAGGAGUCUAACAUCUAUGCGAGUGUUUGGGUGUCAAGCCCGAGCGCGUAAUGAAAGUGAACGGAGGUGGGAACCCUUGGGUGCACCAUCGACCGAUCCUGAUGUCUUCGGAUGGAUUUGAGUAAGAGCAUAGCUGUUGGGACCCGAAAGAUGGUGAACUAUGCUUGAAUAGGGUGAAGCCAGAGGAAACUCUGGUGGAGGCUCGCAGCGGUUCUGACGUGCAAAUCGAUCGUCAAAUUUGGGCAUAGGGGCGAAAGACUAAUCGAA